ACCUUCUAUGGUGUAGUUGGUAGCGCCUUGGUACAGUAAUUAUGUGUCCUAGGUUUGAGUCCUAGUUGAGGUA